rnacentral:lncRNA from 1 species
GUUGUCGACGGAGAGCUGGAGGCUGCGCCCGCGGCGCAGGACGCGCACGCUGUGCCACUCGUUGUCGUCCAGCCGCUGCCCCGCCACCAGCGUCUCGGGGCCCUUGCCUGCGCCAGGCCGUCAGCGCACGCCCGGGGCACGCCCGGGGCACGCUCGGGGCACCCAACAUACACCCAGUGCACACUCGGGGCACGCUCGGGGCACACUCAGGGCACCCAACGUACACCCAGCGGGCGCCCGGGGCACCCAGCAAGCACCCAGGGCACCCAACGUACAUCCAGUGGGCGCCCAACAUGCAACCAGUGCACACUCGGCACGCCCAGGGCACACUCAGGGCACACUCAGGGCACCCAGCGCACACCCAGAGCACCCAACACACACCCAGGGCACACUCAGGGCAUGCUCGGGGCACCCAACGUACACCCAGUGGGCACCCAGGGCACCCAGUGUGCACCCAGGGCACCCAACGUACACCCAGUGCGCACCCAACAUGCAACCAGUGCACACUCGGCAUGCCCAGGGCACACUCGGCACACCCAGGGCACACUCAGGGCACACUCAGGGCACCCAACGUACACCCAGUGCACACUCAGGGCAACCUACAUACACCCAGUGGGCACCCAGGGCACACAGUACACACCCAGGGCACCCAACGUACAUCCAGUGCACGCCCAACACACACCCAGGGCACACUCAGCACGCCCAGGGCACACCCAACAUACACACAGGGCACACUCAGGGCACACUCAGGGCACACUCAGGGCACCCAGCACACACACAGGGCACACUCAGGGCACACUCAGGGCACCCAACGUACAUCCAGUGCGCGCCCAACACGCACCCAGUGCACUCUCGGCACAUCCAGUGCACAGCCAGGGCACCCAGCACACACCCAGGGCACCCAACAUAUGCCCAGUGCACACUCGGCACACCCAGGGCACACCCAGUGCACACUCAGGGCACCCAGCACACACCCAGGGGACCCAACAUACACCCAGGGCACACUCAGGGCACACUCAGGGCACCCAACGUACAUCCAGUGCACACCCAACACACACCCAGUGCACACUCGGCACAGCCAGGGCACACUCAGGGCACACUCAGGGCACCCAGGGGACCCAACAUACACCCAGUGCACACUCGGGGCACACUCGGGGCACCCAAUGUACACCCAGUGGGCACCCGGGGCAACCAGCGCGCACCCAGGGCACCCAACGUACAUCCAGUGGGCGCCCAACACGCAACCAGUGCACACUCGGCACGCCCAGGGCACACUCAGGGCACACUCAGGGCACACUCAGGG